rfam:Thelohanellus kitauei scaffold00507, whole genome shotgun sequence.
GCCUGGAUGACCAUCGUUGGUGCGGUGUGCAGACUUCAAAUCUGUAGCUGGGUAGUUCCAGAGAGGUUCGAUUCCUCCUUUCGGGC